rnacentral:rRNA from 1 species
GAGUUUGAUCAUGGCCAGGACGAACGCUGGCGGCGUGCUUAACACAUGCAAGUCACGGGGGCCCGCAAGGGUAACCGGCGAACGGGUGCGUAACACGUGAGCAAUCUGCCGUCCACUGGGGGAUAGCCGGCCCAACGGCCGGGUAAUACCGCAUACGCUUGCCGGGUGGCAUCACUUGGCAAGGAAACCUCCGGGGGUGGACGAGGAGCUCGCGGCCUAUCAGCUAGUUGGUGGGGUCACGGCCCACCAAGGCGAUGACGGGUAGCUGGUCUGAGAGGAUGGCCAGCCACAUUGGGACUGAGAUACGGCCCAGACUCCUACGGGAGGCAGCAGUGGGGAAUAUUGCGCAAUGGCCGCAAGGCUGACGCAGCGACGCCGCGUGGGGGAUGAAGCAUUUCGGUGUGUAAACCCCUGUUGCCCGGGACGAACCUCCCCUUUCGAGGGGACUGACGGUACCGGGUGAGGAAGCACCGGCUAACUCCGUGCCAGCAGCCGCGGUA